rnacentral:rRNA from 1 species
UCUGCUUGACUAGCUGAGAGGAGGUGCAUGGCCGUCGUCAGUUCGUACUGUGAAGCAUCCUGUUAAGUCAGGCAACGAGCGAGACCCACGCCAACAGUUGCCAGCAUGUCCUCCGGGAUGAUGGGGACACUGUUGGGACCGCCUCUGCUAAAGAGGAGGAAGGAAUGGGCAACGGUAGGUCAGCAUGCCCCGAAUAUCCCGGGCUACACGCGAGCUACAAUGGUUGGUACAAUGGGUAUCUACCCCGAAAGGGGACGGGAAUCUCCUAAAACCAAUCUUAGUUCGGAUUGAGGGCUGCAACUCGCCCUCAUGAAGCUGGAAUCCGUAGUAAUCGCGUUUCAACAGAACGCGGUGAAUACGUCCCUGCUCCUU